rnacentral:rRNA from 1 species
CCUGGCGGUGCGCCUUAUGCAUGCAAGUCGAGCGAAGCUUUUCAGUAGUUUACUACAGAAAAUGACUGAGCGGCGAACGGGUGAGUAACGCGUGAGCAACCCACCUUAGUUACUGGGAUAGCCCGAGGAAACUCGGAUUAAUACCGGAUAUUCUUAUUUAAUCACAUGAUUUUUUAAGGAAAGGUCAGCCGAACUAAGAUGGGCUCGCGUUCUAUCAGCUAGUUGGUAGGGUAACGGCCUACCAAGGCUACGACGGAUAGCUGGUCUGAGAG